UAGCGGUUGCUUCAGGCUUCUUAUCGUGUGGAAUGGGGAGUUCUAUCCAACAGCUUUGCGAAAUUUUGGACUAGGUUUAGGUUCUACAUUUGGCCGUGUUGCGGCGAUUGUUUCACCAAUUGUAAUGGACCAACUAGGGGGACAUCCAGUUCUUGGUAACACUGUCCCUCUGAUAUUGUUUGGCUGCAUGGCAUUGUUCUGUGCUUUGAGUGGUCUAUAUCUCCCUGAAACCGCCCACAAACACCUGCCAGAGACCUUGGAAGAUGCUCAAAACUUUGGAGUUAAACGGUUGGAGAAGAAUUUCCACAAAAGCUCAAGGGAUAAUGCUCCACAGACACUUGAAAUGGUUUCUUAGUUUCUACGACUAUCCGGUAUCACAAUUUGACACAUUGAACAAUGCAUUUUUUAUCUAUUGUUUGAUAUGCAGCAUAUUUACA